rnacentral:tRNA from 1 species
GCUAGCGUAGCUUAAUCAAAGCGUAACACUGAAGAUGUUAAGAUGACCCCUAGAAAGUUCCGCAGGCA